AACGAACGCUGGCUGCGUGCUUAACACAUGCAAGUCGAACGCUGAAGCCCUGGUGCUUGCACCGGGGUGGAUGAGUGGCGAACGGGUGAGUAGCACGUGAGUAACCUGCCCCCGACUUCGGGAUAAGCCCGGGAAACUGGGUCUAAUACCGGAUAUGACGACCGAAGGCAUCUUUGGUUGUGGAAAGUUUUUUCGGUUGGGGAUGGGCUCGCGGCCUAUCAGUUUGUUGGUGAGGUAAUGGCUCACCAAGACGACGACGGGUAGCCGGCCUGAGAGGGCGACCGGCCACACUGGGACUGAGGCACGGCCCAGACUCCUACGGGAGGCAGCAGUGGGGAAUAUUGCACAAUGGGGGAAACCCUGAUGCAGCGACGCAGCGUGCGGGAUGACGGCCUCGGUUGUAACGU
rnacentral:rRNA from 1 species